rnacentral:miRNA from 1 species
UAGUACGGGCAGUACUGGGA